UCGAACGAUGAAGAAGAGCUUGCUCUUUGGAUUAGUGGCGAACGGGUGAGUAACACGUGAGCAAUCUGCCCUUGACUCUGGGAUAAGCGUUGGAAACGACGUCUAAUACCGGAUACGACCCUCGGAGGCAUCUCCUGGGGGUGGAAAGAAUUUUGGUCAAGGAUGAGCUCGCGGCCUAUCAGCUAGUUGGUGAGGUAAUGGCUCACCAAGGCGACGACGGGUAGCCGGCCUGAGAGGGUGACCGGCCACACUGGGACUGAGACACGGCCCAGACUCCUACGGGAGGCAGCAGUGGGGAAUAUUGCACAAUGGGCGAAAGCCUGAUGCAGCAACGCCGCGUGAGGGACGACGGCCUUCGGGUUGUAAACCUCUUUUAGUAGGGAAGAAGCGAAAGUGACGGUACCUGCAGAAAAAGCACCGGCUAACUACGUGCCAGCAGCCGCGGUAAUACGUAGGGUGCAAGCGUUGUCCGGAAUUAUUGGGCGUAAAGAGCUCGUAGGCGGUUUGUCGCGUCUGCUGUGAAAUCCCGAGGCUCAACCUCGGGUCUGCAGUGGGUACGGGCAGACUAGAGUGCGGUAGGGGAGAUUGGAAUUCCUGGUGUAGCGGUGGAAUGCGCAGAUAUCAGGAGGAACACCGAUGGCGAAGGCAGAUCUCUGGGCCGUAACUGACGCUGAGGAGCGAAAGCAUGGGGAGCGAACAGGAUUAGAUACCCUGGUAGUCCAUGCCGUAAACGUUGGGAACUAGAUGUGGGGACCAUUCCACGGUCUCCGUGUC
rnacentral:rRNA from 1 species